rnacentral:lncRNA from 1 species
AUUGGUACUUAUGUCUUCAAGUUACCGCAGCUGAUGGUUGACCGGCUCUAUCUGCCUAGAAGAUCAGGGGGCAGAGGACUCUUACAAGUAAAACAAGCAGUCAAAGAAGAAGAACAUGCCCUGGCAGAAUAUUCAAAGCAAAGUGAAGAACCUGGUUUGAUUGAAGUCAAAAAUCAGAAACUCCUCAAAGCACAGCAGACAAAAAACCAGUACAUGAAAACCGCACUACAAACUAGAGCUGACAGCUGGCACAACAAAACAUUGCAUGGAAAGUUCCUUGACAAAAUGGAAGGAAAAGCUGAUAAGGAGAAGACCUGGCUCUGGCUCACGAAUGGGACCCUGAAGAAGGAGACAGAAGGCCUGAUCCUUGCAGCCCAGGAGCAAGCCAUCAGGACAAAGGCAAUUCAGGCCAAGAUCGAAAAAUCAGCUGAUGACCCAAAAUGCAGACUGUGCAAGGAAACCGACGAAACCAUUGAUCAUAUCCUCAGCUGCUAUAAGAAAAUCGCACAGACAGACUACAAGCAGAGGCACAACUAUGUGGCCCAAAUGAUUCAUUGGAACUUAUGCCUCAAGUACCACCUGCCAGCAACAAAGAACUGGUGGGAUCAUAAACCUGCAAAAGUGUUGAAAACUGAGCACGCAAAGAUACUGUGGGACCUCCGAAUCCAAACUGACAAAGUUCUGGAACACAACACACCAGACAUCACAGUUGUGGAAAAGAAAAAGGUUUGGAUCAUUGAUGUCGCCAUCCCAGGUGACAGUCGCAUUGACGAAAAACAACAGGAAAAACUCAGCCGCUAUCAGGACCUCAAGAUUGAACUUCAAAGACUCUGGCAGAAACCAGUGCAGGUGGUCCUGAUAGCAGCUGAGUUUUUCCUGUUGUUUUUCGUCAAUGCGACUGUCACCUGGGAUGGCAACAUCAAUGAUCCAAACCUUUUUCUUUUCCACAACUGUGAUGUCUGGUGUGUUGUGUUCCAGACUGACAAAGUUCUGGAACACAACACACCAGACAUCACAGUUGUGGAAAGAAAAAGUUUUGGGUCAUUGAUGUUGCCAUCCCAGGUGACAGUCGCAUUGACGAAAAACAACAGGAAAAACUCAGCCGCUAUCAGGACCUCAAGAUCGAACUUCAAAGACUCUGGCAGAAACCAGUGCAGGUGGUCCCGGUGGUGAUCGGCACACUGAGUGCCGUGCCAAAAGAUCUCAGCCAGCAUUUGGAAACAAUAGACAUUGACAAAAUUACGAUCUGCCAACUGCAAAAGGCCACCCGACUGGGAUCUGCAGCAUCAUCCAAAAAUACAUCACCCAGUCCUAGACACUUGGGAAAUGUUUGACUUGUGAUUUUAUGACACGAAAUCCAGCAUAUCUAUCUUGUUUGCUGUGUCAUACAAUAAAAUAAUACUUAUUUUUAUACCCCACCCUCCAUCUCCCCGAAGGGACUCGGGGCGGCUUAUAUAGGGCCAAGCCUGGAUAAAACAGCAAACCAAAAUAAAAUAACAUCAGAAAAUACAGAACACAGAAAUUAAAUUAACACUCUAAACAUAUUAAAAAUAUAAAAUGAUAAGCCUGGUAAAAACAUAGAUUUGGCAUCUGGGGGUUGGUGCUCAUCUCUAUUUCUAAACCGAAGAGUUGGCGUUGUCCAUAGGUCAUGUGGCCGGCAAGACUGCAUCGAGGGCUGUUACCUUCCUGCUGGAGCGGUACCUAUUGAUCUACUCACAUUUGCAUGUUUUUGAACUGCUAGGUUGGCCGAAGCUGGGGCUAACAGCGGGAGUUCACCCCGCUCCCUGGAUUCGAACCACAUUCAGCAGCUCAGUGGUUUAACCCGCUGGUAAAAACAUGGAUUUGUAAAUCCUAAUUUGCUCAAAACACAUUCAUACACAAAUAUGCACAAUUAAAUUCCUUCCUGCCAAUUGCAAGAUUCCUUUUCGUAACUUUGGAGAGAUUGUCAUAUUCUUGAGAGAUUUUUGCCUAUCCUUUAUUUGCACAUUCCUCUAAAGAAUACAAAACUGAAAACAAUAGCAAGUGUUGUCUAAAUACACAGUAGUAGUGUUGGAAAUGUUGUUCUUUCUUCUUGAUUAUAAUUAUUAUCAAUUCUUUAUUACAACAUCAUCCCUGCCACCUGCCACUCCCCAAGACAGCAAUUCAUAGAGUUAUUUUGUUAUUAUAGGCAAACUAAUAGUGCCAAAAAUUGGCUUCUCACAUAGUUGUUGGAAGAAAGUUCAACUUUAUCUCCCCCUAAUAUUUUCAAAAGAACAAUCCCAAAUCAUUGGAAAAUUGUGUUUUUAUUUCUUUUCUUUAGCUAUGUGGAGUCUAUUAGCUAAUUUUUCAAUCAAAGCUAAUUACCACACCUUAUUACACCCGGCUGUCAGAGAUCUCUCCCUUAAAUCUUUUCACAAUCAGGUAAUGAAAAACCUAGCAGCAACUAAUGAAUAACUAAUGAAAGGAGCCCAAGAGGGCCAAUUCUCAACCCUUUGUAAGGUAUUGGCUAGCAGAGUUUUUUCUAUUUUUGUGAUCAAUCAGCCUGUCCUUUCUCUCCUUCCCUGCAUUCUUAGCAUUAAAAAGAAAACUGACACUAACUUUGCACAAAGAAAUGGAAGAAAAUAUGGUGGGGAAACGUGCUUUAUGGUUUGCUUUCAUACUGGUGGUAAAGAACUCUCAGGGAGAUUGACGAAUUCUCAACAGGCUAUCUUGGUGUAUCGAGAUAGUCUGUUUCGAACAAAAUCUCAGCAAUUGUGAAAUUUUUCACAUUUCUACAAGACAAGCCCAUCGCAGUACAAGCAAUACUGUGAAGCCUGAAGGGAUUUUUCUCCCUCACAAUAUAAUAAUAAUAAUAAUAAUAAUAAUAAUAAUAAUAAUCCAGACAUCACAGUUGUGGGAAAGAAAAAGGUUUGGAUCAUGGAUGUCGCCAUCCCAGGUGACAGUCGCAUUGACGAAAAACAACAGGAAAAACUCAGCCGCUAUCAGGACCUCAAGAUUGAACUUCAAAGACUCUGGCAGAAACCAGUGCAGGUGGUCCCGGUGGUGAUGGGCACACUGGGUGCCGUGCCAAAAGAUCUCAGCCGGCAUUUGGAAACAAUAGACAUUGACAAAAUUAUGAUCUGCCAACUGCAAAAGGCCACCCUGCUGGGAUCUGCACGCAUCAUCCGAAAAUACAUCACACAGUCCUAGACACUUGGGAAGUGUUCGACUUGUGAUUUUGUGAUAUGAAAUCCAGCAUAUCUAUCUUGUUUGCUGUGUCAUAAUAAAAUAAUAAUAAUAUAAAAAUAACUUGGAAAGUGUCUGACAUGUGAUCCAAUACAAAAGCCAACAGAGUGUCUGCUGUGGACUCAUUUUGUUGUGUUUCAAAUAACACCAACACCAACACCAACACCAACAACAACUUUAUUCUUGUAUCCCGCCCUAUCUUCCCGGGGCAGCUCACAUGGGGACCAGGCCCAACAAUAUGCAAUAAAAUACAUACCAAUCACAACCAAUUAAUGUAUCAACAUCAUAAAAUAAAAGUGUAAGCAAUGGAAAAAGGCGAUAUAAUAACACUUCAAUCUCCAUGCAGGAAACUUUCUCUCAUUCUCAAGCAGGUCUUUAUUGGAUUAAACUGUUUUAACCUUGGGUUGCUGUGAGUCUUCCGGAUUGUAUGUUCCAGAAGGAGAGGAGGGCAACUAAAAUGAGUCUGAAGAACAAGCCCUAUGAAGAGCGGUGUAAAGAGCUGGGCAGGUUUAGCCUGCAGAAGAGAAGGCUGAGAGGAGACCAUGUCCUGGAGACUAGGACAAAAUGGAGCAAUGGCUUCAAACUACAGGAAAGGAGGUUCCACCUGAAGAAUGUCAUAACAGUGAGAGCUGUUCAGCAGUGGAACUCUCUGAUUCAGAGUGUGGUGGAGGCUCCUUCUUUGGAAGCUUUUAAACAGAGGCUGGAUGACCAUCUAUCUGGGGUGCUUUGAAGGCAAUUUUCCUGCAGAAUGGGGUUGGACUGGAUGGCCCACCAGGUCUCUUCCAACUCUAUGAUUCUAUGAAAGGUAAAACAUUGUUGUUGCUUAUUUAUUUGGACUACUAUUGGCAAGUUUUAUCUAUACAGGACCUAAAGAUUUUCCCCGUUGUUAACAUUCUUCUUGAGAAAUUCAAUGUUCUCUGCCUAAGAAGGGAACAAUUAGCCUUGGAAAUUACUGUGCUGCUAAUGCAAUUGAGUUUUUAUUAUUUUGUCCUUGGGCAAGAAGUGAAGUGACCCCUGCCUGCAUUGAGAUCCAUCCUGACCAUCUUAACUGAGAGCAGAUGCAACAUCUGAGAAAAAAAAUGAAGGUUUAUGACUCUAAUGGUAUCACUUUUCUUCAACAUCUUUGCCUGAUCAAGAAGCAAGGUUUUGCAAGCUUGUAUGAUGCAUUUUAAUUGGCCCAAUAAAAGUAUCAUUGUUUUGUGGGCUUUGCUGCAUUCUCCUGCAUUAGCAACACAGCUUUGACCUUUCCCAUCCUGUAGUGAUUACAUUGGCCCCAUCUACACUGGCAUAUAAUGCAGUUUAGAACUGAAUUAUAUGGUCAGCGUGGAGUCAUAUAACACAGUUUAACUGCAUUAUAUGAAACUACACUGACCAUAUAAUGCAAUUUCAAACUACAUUAUAUGGCAGCAUAGAUGGAGUCAUUGAUGUCCUCCAUCCAUUAGUGUAAAGAUUGUAAAAUCCACCGAACACUGUCCACAUCCCAAUGUCAACCUCAGAAGAUAUAUUAGGUUUUUUUUCCCCAGGACAAAAAUAAUCAAGAUUAAAAGUGGAACUAAACACGGUUGUCCACUCUCCCCUAUUCUAUUUGCUUUGGAAAUAGAACCUUUAGCAAAUUUUACAAAAUUAAAGGCUUCAGAAUUGCAAGGGAAUUAAUCAAAAUUAACCUAUUUGCGGAUGAUGCCAUGGUUCUAAUGGGAUCACCAGUGGACUCUAUAAAAGAAGUUAUUCAUACCAUAAAGAAAUUUGAGAAUCUAUCAGGGUUGGCCAUUAACAUUCAAAAAAUCAGAAAUUCUACAUAAAAAUCUGUCUUUGAAAGAGUUAAAAGAAAUACAGACCAUCUCUGGGAUAAAAUUAGGUGAAAAGAAGUUAAAAUAUUUAGGCGUUUAUAUUCCCAAAAGUUUAAACAAUAUAAUUCAAUUAAAUUACAAUCAUUUAUGGAAAAAGUAAACAAUCAAAUUCGUAAUUGGAAUAAUCAGAACUGGGAUAUGCACUUUAUCUAUUUAUGAAUUUGUUACCCAUAAUGUGCACCGUACACUUUGAUUAUCCACUAUUGCAACCUCAUUGUUUUUAACCUGAUGUUUUAAUUCUACGUUGUGUUUUUUAACUUAUUGUGUAUAUUUUUAUUGAUUUUUGUUUUUGUCCUGAUGUUUUAUAUUUUAUCAUUGUUUGUAUUUUGACUUUGCUGUAAGCCGGCCCGAGUCCCCUUCGGGGGAGAUGGAGGCGGGAUACAAAUAAACUUAUUAUUAUUAUUAUUAUUAUUAUUAUUAUUAUUAUUAUUAUUAUUAUUAUUAUUAUAUGUCAAACAAAGUUAAGGUGACUGGGUGAUAAUACACUCUUUUCAAAAAAGCCACCCAGAAUUGUGA